rnacentral:rRNA from 1 species
GCCGACCUUGAAAUACCACCCUUUAAUGUUUGAUGUUCUAACGUUGACCCGUAAUCCGGGUUGCGGACAGUGUCUGGUGGGUAGUUUGACUGGGGCGGUCUCCUCCUAAAGAGUAACGGAGGAGCACGAAGGUUGGCUAAUCCUGGUCGGACAUCAGGAGGUUAGUGCAAUGGCAUAAGCCAGCUUGACUGCGAGCGUGACGGCGCGAGCAGGUGCGAAAGCAGGUCAUAGUGAUCCGGUGGUUCUGAAUGGAAGGGCCAUCGCUCAACGGAUAAAAGGUACUCCGGGGAUAACAGGCUGAUACCGCCCAAGAGUUCAUAUCGACGGCGGUGUUUGGCACCUCGAUGUCGGCUCAUCACAUCCUGGGGCUGAAGUAGGUCCCAAGGGUAUGGCUGUUCGCCAUUUAAAGUGGUACGCGAGCUGGGUUUAGAACGUCGUGAGACAGUUCGGUCCCUAUCUGCCGUGGGCGCUGGAGAACUGAGGGGGGCUGCUCCUAGUACGAGAGGACCGGAGUGGACGCAUCACUGGUGUUCGGGUUGUCAUGCCAAUGGCACUGCCCGGUAGCUAAAUGCGGAAGAGAUAAGUGCUGAAAGCAUCUAAGCACGAAACUUGCCCCGAGAUGAGUUCUCCCUGACUCCUUGAGAGUCCUGAAGGAACGUUGAAGACGACGACGUUGAUAGGCCGGGUGUGUAAGCGCAGCGAUGCGUUGAGCUAACCGGUACUAAUGAACCGUGAGGCUUAACCUUACAACGCCGAAGGUGUUU